CCGGGACCAUCCGGUAAGGCUAAAUACUCCCGAGAGACCGAUAGCGAACCAGUACCGUGAGGGAAAGGUGAAAAGCACUUCGAACAGAAGAGUGAAAUAGUUCCUGAAACCGUGCGCCUACAAGCGGUCGGAGCUGCUUAAAGCAGUGACGGCGUGCCUUUUGCAUAAUGAACCUACGAGUUGCCUUUGCCGGCAAGGUUAAGUGUGACGACACACGUAUCCGAAGCGAAAGCGAGUCUGAAGAGGGCGUAUAGUCGGCAGUGGCAGACGCGAAACCAAGUGAUCUACCCUUGGCCAGGUUGAAGGCUGGGUAACACCAGCUGGAGGACCGCACCAAUAAGCGUUGAAAAGCUUCUGGAUGAGCUGAGGGUAGGGGUGAAAGGCUAAUCAAACUUGGAGAUAGCUCGUACUCCCCGAAAUGCAUUUAGGUGCAGCCUUGUGAGUUACUAAUGUGAGGUAGAGCGACUGAUAAGAUGCGAGGGCUUCACCGCCUAUCAAGUCUUGACAAACUCCGAAUGCGCAUCAGUUUUACCUCAGGAGUGAGGGCAUGGGUGCUAAGGUCCGUGCCCGAGAGGAGAAGAAUCCGGACCACCUGCUAAGGUCCCGAAAUGACAGCUAAGUUAAACUAACGAAGUCUGACUGCUAAGACAGCUAGGAUGUUGGCUUGGAAGCAGCCAUUCAUUUAAAGAGUGCGUAACAGCUCACUAGUCGAGCGAUCUGGCGUGGAUAAUAAUCGGGCAUAAACGAUCUGCCGAAGCCGUGGAUGUCGCAAGACAUGGUAGGGGAGCAUUCCAUGCCGCGUCGAAGAUGAGGGAUGACCCUUGUUGGAGCGCAUGGAAAAGCAAAUGUAGGUAUGAGUAACGAUAAGGGGGGCGAGAAACCCCCCCGCCGAAAGACCAAGGUUUCCUGAUCAACGCUAAUCGGAUCAGGGUGAGUCGGGACCUAAGGCAAAGCCGAACGGCGCCGCCGAUGGAAGAAUGGGUUAAUAUUCCCAUACUGCCUCAUGGAGUGACGUGGAGACGGAGAAGUGACAGUCCUGCCGGCUGACGGAAUAGCCGGUUGAAGGGUGUAGAUAUUGAUUCCCGUAGGCAAAUCCGCGGGGAGAGUCGAACCUGAGAGUAUACGGAGCGCUUGCGCAACGUAAUAUGGACGUAACCAUGCUCCCGAGAAAAUCCGCUAAACUUAUCCAUGCGGCACCCGUACCGUAAACGGACACACGUGGUCGGGUUGAGAAUACUGAGGCGCUCGAGUGAUUCACGGUUAAGGAACUAGGCAAAUUGACCCUGUAACUUCGGGAUAAAGGGUCCUCGUCGUAAGGCGAGGCGCAGAGAAUAGGUCCAGGCAACUGUUUAACAAAAACACAUGGCUGUGCUAAAUGGAAACAUGAUGUAUACAGCCUGACACCUGCCCGGUGCCGGAAGGUUAAGAGGAGAUGUCAUCCGCGAGGAGAAGCGUUGAAUUGAAGCCCCGGUAAACGGCGGCCGUAACUAUAACGGUCCUAAGGUAGCGAAAUUCCUUGUCGGGU
rnacentral:rRNA from 1 species